rnacentral:lncRNA from 1 species
GGGGAGGCAUUGGGAAGGUAGGGUUUGGGGCCUUAGUCAUCUCGUAGUGAUCACGGGCUCCCUCGGCGUCUCCUGUCAGCCCCAGACCUCACCCCUAAACUUUGGACAUUUUCCCCUACGGUGUACCUAACCCCACUCCAACAAUCCCCAGACCCACCACAGUCCUUCCCCCAUUCCGCGGAAGCCACCGGCCGAGAGCCGAGGGCUCCUUUUGCACUGGUGCGGCGAGCGCGGGGUGCAGAGAUAAAGAUGUCUUUCUCCUUUUAACCGUCGCAGCAGAUUAUUAGACACUGUUGACCAGAAAUAAUAAAAGCCUUUGGAGGCCA